rnacentral:rRNA from 1 species
UACGUAGGGGGCUAGCGUUGUCCGGAAUCAUUGGGCGUAAAGCGCGUGUAGGCGGCCCGGUAAGUCCGCUGUGAAAGUCGGGGGCUCAACCCUCGGAUGCCGGUGGAUACUGUCGGGCUCGAGUACGGAAGAGGCGAGUGGAAUUCCUGGUGUAGCGGUGGAAUGCGCAGAUAUCAGGAGGAACACCGAUGGCGAAGGCAGCUCGCUGGGACGGUACUGGCGCUGAGGCGCGAAAGCGUGGGGAGCGAACAGG